rnacentral:lncRNA from 1 species
CUUUCAAGGUUAAGUGCUCAUAAUGGGACAUGCUGAUUGCAGGCCUCGUCUGAGAUGUGCAGAAAGCUCACACCAGUUUAAAGAUACAUGAAUUGUGCUGUCAUAACCGUACGAUGCCAAAAAGACCUGCUGCUAUUUGAGUGACUGACCGCUCAUCUGAUGGGUCUCAGUUCUGAAGUCCAAAAUGAGAUUCCUCUGCUUAAGGAUGGGCUGUACAGAGAUGCACUUGGAGUCCUGCGACUGCUGCUGAAAUCAGUGGGAACCGACUUCAAGCACCACUGAAACACACUCCUGGCUCUCCCAGAAUCCUUUUUUUAAUUGAAGACGCUUGGAUGUUACAAGGUGCUUCUAACAAGAAGGAUGCAGUGUGCGUCGUACACCGAAGUCAUACUGCAACAGGAGCAGAAGCGGCUGUGUUUGCAUUGCCCGCUCACAGUCUUUUUGUUUGCACAGACUUCACAUGUGACAGCAAGAUUUAUAGAGAGAAACUGAAAGAAGCAGAUGAUUUUUGGUAAGAUUUGGGGUGUAUGAAUUCAUAAAUCCUUGUUGUCCUGGCUCGUAGGAAUCCCAUUCUGUCUACAUUUCAGUUUUGUUUUCUGCUUUCCCUCCCCAGUAGAGUUGAACCUGGGAAUAGCAUCGCUCAAUGGCUCGUUAGGUUGAUAAAGUGGUAAAAGUGACGAUAGCUACAAUGGGUACUUCCAGCUCAGAAGCAUUUAUAGAUCUCGAGGGAAUUCUGAAAAACACCAGAAAGUCUUUAGGUACUGAAUCACAGGCAAGUAUUUUGAAUCUUUAAUUUUUUCUUUAUAUAUGCUUUUCUAUGAGAAUGUCAGAACUGAAAUAUGGAAUAUGCUUUUCCCACUUGGUUUCUAUUACUUGUAAAGCAUUCAAAAGCUUCUAGAAUAAAAUUACCUCUAUGCCCUGCA